rnacentral:misc_RNA from 1 species
GAUGAAGAACGUAGCGAAAUGCGAUACGUAAUGUGAAUUGCAGAAUUCAGUGAAUCAUCGAGUCUUUGAACGCACAUUGCGCCCCCUGGUAUUCCGGGGGGCAUGCCUGUCCGAGCGUCAUUGCUGCCCUCAAGCACGGCUUGUGUGUUGGGCCUCCGUCCUCCUCCCGGGGGACGGGCCCGAAAGGCAGCGGCGGCACCGCGUCCGGUCCUCGAGCGUAUGGGGCUUCGUCACCCGCUCUUGUAGGCCCGGCCGGCGCUUGCCGACACAUCAAUCUUUUUUCCAGGUUGACCCCGGAUCAGGUAGGGAUACCCGCUGAACUUAAGCAUAUCAAUAAGCGGAGGA